UACGGAAGGCAGCAGUGGGGAAUAUUGCACAAUGGGCGAAAGCCUGAUGCAGCUAUGCCGCGUGUAUGAAGAAGGCCUUAGGGUUGUAAAGUACUUUCAUCGGGGAGGAAAAACAAAACUAAUAAUUUUAUUUCUUGACGUUACCCGAAAAAGAAGCACCGGCUAACUCCGUGCCAGCAGCCGCGGUAAUACGGAGGGUGCUAGCGUUAAUCAGAAUUACUGGGCGUAAAGAGCACGUAGGUGGUUUUUUUAAAGUCAGAUGUGAAUCCCUGGGCUUAACCUAGGAACUGCAUUUUGAAACUGAAAUACUAGAGUAUCGUAGAGGGAGGUAGAAUUCUAGGUGUAGCGGUGAAAUGCGUAGAUAUCUGGAGGAAUACCUGUGGCGAAAGCGGCCUCCUAAACGAAUACUGACACUGAGGGUGCGAAAGCGUGGGGAGCAAACAGGAUUAGAUACC
rnacentral:rRNA from 1 species